GGGGCGACCGUGGUGUCAGUGUGCGUGGGCAGGGCAGAGAGAUAGCUCUGUGAAGUAUUGAGAUGGGAAGCCUCAGUGGUAAAACUGACUCUGUAAAAAGUAUAUUUUUAGAUUUAACAGGCUAGGUAAAGUCCAAGUCAUCUGGUGGCUGUCAUAGAGAUGGAGAUGAGGAAAAUAUGUGGUAGAGUGGUUAUCAAAUCACUUUUGCAUUCAGCCUGCGUCUGUAUUGUGCAAUUCGGUCACCAUUUAAUAACAAGGUGUAUUUGUAGUGCUUAUUGGAUUUGAAAUGAGAAACAGAAUGGAACCAGUCCAGGUCUUAGGCAAACUGACUUGCUAAUGUCUACUCUACUCUGUGUCUCAUUACUGAAAGCAAACAGUUAAAUGUAACACUGCCCUGUACUUACUGCCAAAGAUGCCUCACACAGCUAAACAACACAUUGUUAAAAAAUACAUUUUAUCAAUAGGGCUGCUUUGCCAGGAAAUCAUUCCCUUAUAUAAUUACAAAUCGGCAAAAGGUAAUUUGCGCAGUAUCUGAUUGCAGGUGAGAAAUGCAUGUGUGCAGGGUAAAUAUUGUUUACCUCAAAAAUAUCAAUAUCCACCUCAGUCCCUCUUGAUGAAUUAUGUACUCAUGAGGAUGUGUCUGUGUUUGUGUCCGAACACAUAGGCCUAACCAUUUUCUCACCUCAGAGAAUUAGCUCUCUUUCACCCGUAUACUCAGCUGUUGCACUCACUAUCUUCUUCCCUUCAGUUUUUUCCUAUUUUAUUUUCCUUCUCAUUCCAUCUCCCUCUUUAAAUCUACCUGCCAUUAUUUCUCCUUCCUUUCAUUCUCCUUCCCCUUUUCUGACCACCAUUUGAUUGUUAAAAACGGGAUCGAAUUCGACUCGUCCCUAAUAUUCAUUGGGGAAAUUCUUGAUAUUGAUGAUACUCUGUUACAGUAAUGAUGCACAAUGCAUUCUAAGGGGAAAAAAACUAUCACUUUACAAAUAAUGUUUAGGCAAAAUUCACCAUUGUAAUCCACUAUAAGCAGAACAAUGUUAGAGAAUAAAAAGACAUCCUGAUGCCCAAUGUAGUGAUAGUCAUGUCUGGGCUUUUCAAAAUAAAGGUCCCCUCUACUGAGCAAUCAUUUAGUAGUGUCCACUCU
rnacentral:lncRNA from 13 species